CACGUUUUCCUCUUCUGCAGAUUUCCAAAAUUAGGGCAAAGGGCUCCGGGGUCAGGGAUGACCUCUAGCAGAUGGUCUUAAAAGAUUGCAUCAGAAUAAGCCCCAUAAAGCAUACAACAACUAUAAUUGAGAGAAACAAGAAGAAAAAAAAU